AGUGAACGCUGGCGGUAGGCCUAACACAUGCAAGUCGAACGGCAGCACAGGAGAGCUUGCUCUCUGGGUGGCGAGUGGCGGACGGGUGAGGAAUACAUCGGAAUCUACUUUUUCGUGGGGGAUAACGUAGGGAAACUUACGCUAAUACCGCAUACGACCUACGGGUGAAAGCAGGGGAUCUUCGGACCUUGCGCGAGUGAAUGAGCCGGUGUCGGAUUAGCUAGUUGGCGGGGUAAAGGCCCACCAAGGCGACGAUCCGUAGCUGGUCUGAGAGGAUGACCAGCCACACUGGAACUGAGACACGGUCCAGACUCCUACGGGAGGCAGCAGUGGGGAAUAUUGGACAAUGGGCGCAAGCCUGAUCCAGCCAUACCGCGUGGGUGAAGAGGGCCUUCGGGUUGUAAAGCCCUUUUGUUGGGAAAGAAAUCCAGCUGGUUAAUACCCGGUUGGGAUGACGGUACCCAAAGAAUAAGCACCGGCUAACUUCGUGCCAGCAGCCGCCGUAA
rnacentral:rRNA from 1 species